CGUGGAUAUCCUUGCACCCCCUGGCUCAUGACUCCUUACCGUAAGCCCAGGCCAGGACCACAGACGGCAUUUAACUCCGCGCUUACUGCCACUAGACAGCUGGUGGAGCGCACAAUUGGGGUCCUUAAAGGACGUUUUCGUGUGCUCCACCGCACUGGUGGCGACAUCAUGUAUUCGCCGGAGAUGGCAAGUAAAAUAGUGGUCCUGUGCGCUAUACUCCAUAACAUCGCGGUAAGGAGUCGCGUUGAGCUUCCUCACACAGAGGAAUUGCCAGAUGAGGAGCCAGGGGUUGGCCGGAGAUUCGGUGGGGGGAGUGUUUCCCGGAGGGGAAGUGAAGUAAGGGCAAGCAUUGUGCAAGAAUAUUUCAGCUGAUUUAUCACACAAAAUGUGGGCGAGCACAACGGCAAGGUGCUGGUGCAGGGAGGCAACCCCAGCAACAUUCUCCAUCCCCAUCCCCUUCACGAUCACCCUCCCCCUCUCCUGCCCAAUCCCCCUCUCCGGCCCAAUCCCCCUCUCCAGCCCACACCCCCUCUCCUGCCCAAUCCCCCUCUCCGGCCCAAUCCCCCUCUCCAGCCCACACCCCCUCUCCUGCCCAAGCACCCUCUCCUGCCCAAGCCCACUCUCUUUCCCAGUCCCCCUCACCAGCCCACGCACACUCUCUUUCACAAUCCCCCUCUCCACGCCACACCCCCUCUCCUGCCCAAGCACCCUCUCCUGCCCAAGCCCACUCUCUUUCCCAGUCCCCCUCACCAGCCACCUCAGCCUCUCCUGCCCAAUCCCCCUCUCCAGCCACCUCAGCCUCUCCUGCCCAAUCCCCCUCUCCAGCCACCUCAGCCUCUCCUGCCCAAUCCCCCUCUCCAGCCCAAUCCCACUCUUUGGCUAAAUUCCCC